rnacentral:tRNA from 1 species
AUCGGGAUAGUGUAACGGCAACACGGUCGGCUCUGACCCGGCAGUUAAAGGUUCGAAUCCUUUUCCCGAUGCCA